CCCCUUGUUACAAACCUCACUU
rnacentral:miRNA from 1 species